rnacentral:rRNA from 1 species
ACGGAAGGCAGCAGUGGGGAAUAUUGCACAAUGGGGGAAACCCUGAUGCAGCGACGCCGCGUGAGUGAAGAAGUAUUUCGGUAUGUAAAGCUCUAUCAGCAGGAAAGAAAAUGACGGUACCUGACUAAGAAGCCCCGGCUAACUACGUGCCAGCAGCCGCGGUAAUACGUAGGGGGCAAGCGUUAUCCGGAUUUACUGGGUGUAAAGGGAGCGUAGACGGCUUUGCAAGUCUGAAGUGAAAGCCCGGGGCUCAACCCCGGAACUGCUUUGGAAACUGUAGAGCUAGAGAGCAGGAGAGGUAAGUGGAAUUCCUAGUGUAGCGGUGAAAUGCGUAGAUAUUAGGAGGAACACCAGUGGCGAAGGCGGCUUACUGGACUGUAACUGACGUUGAGGCUCGAAGGCGUGGGGAGCAAACAGGAUUAGAUACCCUGGUA